GGCGGGAAGCUGUCACCAGGGCCUGGCCUUCUCUGAGACCCCAGGAGCCAGGUGGGGUCACAUGGCCAGCCUGGCCCUGCUGUCGCCUCCUGGCCUGCAGUCCAUCCCUGUUUCCGCCUGGGGACCCGGGGUGGUCACACUACUGUGCCCUCAAGUGGUCCACACACACACACACACACACACACACACCCCGCUAAGACUGCUUCUCAGGGAGCUGAUUGAUGGCCUGAGGAGUUGCUUGGAUUUGCAGGAAAAGUGCACGUGUGUUACAGAGAAACCUCAGGCCGCCGGGCGCUCUCCAGAGGGAGAGAGGAGCCCACAUGGUGCUCAGCUUGGGUGUCCGGGGUGGCACCGGGUUCCCACCCAGUGUCUCCUUUGGGUCUAAGAUCUGACCCGGCUUCCCGUGUGGCCCUGACUCCCUGUCUCUGUCCCUCAGCCUUGUGGCCCUGCUGCUCCUGGAGAGGACGGCGGGUGACUUUGUCCCACGUCCCCCGUGCAGAAACCAGGCCAUGCGCAAGAAGCUGAUCCUGUACUUCAAGCGGAGGAACCACGCGCGAAAGCAAUGGGAGCAGAAGUUCUGCCAGCGCUAUGACCAACUCAUGGAGGCCUGGGAGAAGAAGGUGGAGCGCAUCGAGAGCAACCCACGUCGCCGCGCCAAAGGAGAGCAAGGUGCGAGAGUACUACGAGAAGCAGUUCCCCGGAGAUCCGCAAGCA
rnacentral:lncRNA from 1 species